rnacentral:rRNA from 1 species
AUUGAACGCUGGCGGCAUGCCUUACACAUGCAAGUCGAACGGUAACAGGGAGCUUGCUCCGCUGACGAGUGGCGAACGGGUGAGUAAUAUAUCGGAACGUGCCCUAGAGUGGGGGAUAACUAGUCGAAAGAUUAGCUAAUACCGCAUACGAUCUAAGGAUGAAAGUGGGGGAUCGCAAGACCUCAUGCUCGUGGAGCGGCCGAUAUCUGAUUAGCUAGUUGGUAGGGUAAAAGCCUACCAAGGCAUCGAUCAGUAGCUGGUCUGAGAGGACGACCAGCCACACUGGGACUGAGACACGGCCCAGACCCCUACGGGAGGCAGCAGUGGGGAAUUUUGGACAAUGGGCGCAAGCCUGAUCCAGCAAUGCCGCGUGAGUGAAGAAGGCCU